rnacentral:lncRNA from 1 species
UCCUGUUACUGUCCCGCGAACCCACAUCCCUACAAAGCAGGAAAGUAUGCUUGGGAGAGGCCAAGUGAGUGGGGAAUCAGCCCAAAGCCAGGCGUCCAGGGUCUCCCUCACCUGAAGCUGACUUUUUCCCCACCUUGGACAGAGGGCGGGAGAUGCCAUCCCCACUGAACCCAGUGCUUUCACCAGCCAUAUUAGCUCCCACUCACCCCCCGUCGUGGAAGCCUCGGCCGUCACACCUGCAGGGCCGGGGCGUGCAUGGCCUCAGGGAUGGCCUGUUCAGCUGCUGGGUGACUCGGGUCCAGGUGCCUCACCACCUGCUGAGCUCUGUGUGAUUUCUGGACACUUCUGCUCGUUGCCUUUGGGCUCAGUGAAGAGUCUGGAGUUUAUCUGGAGUGAGGUGGCCGGUUCUUGGUGGGAUCUGAGCAGGUGGAGGCAAUGCCCAGAGCUGUGGCAGCCACCUUGCAGCCGUGAAGCACCAGUGGGAAUGACAGUCAAGAGAACCACGGAGAUGCCAGCCCCUGGACCCACAGCAGCAGCACCUGCUUCCAGACUCAGAGUGUGAGAAAAAAAUAAACUCCUAUUUGUUUAUGGCAAGGUUA